ACAAUGAAGAGCCGGUUCACUUGAGGAAGCAGAUCCGGUUCAUCAUACAAGAAAAAGAGGCAGCCCCCUUCCUCCUCGCAGAUCUAAUCUUCUCCCAAAGCCAAGCACCUAACGCCACUUCCUUCUUCCUCUCCCUCACCACCAAAGGCCGACAGUCCACCUCCACCUCACCACCAUCAACCGGUCAUCUCUCCUCUUCGGGUUAGAAGAGGAGAGCCUCUUCUCCACUUCAUCACCACCAUCCGGCUACCUCCUCUUCGGGUUAGAAGAGGAGGAACCGGCAGCCACCUUCGGAGAGCUCCAUUUCCAUCCACCGCAUCCACAAGAACUUCCUCCUUCAGGCGAUUCCGGGUACCAGCCCUUGUUGGUUCGAUUCCUAGUGUUGGGUUGUCUCUUUUUUCAUGUCAAUGCUUGUAUUCAAUUUGAUCUCCCAUAUUAGUUUGCCCGUACUUUGGUUAAUUUUAUUCAUGCACACAACAUGUUUGCUUAAUUGUCACUUACAUUUUGUUUACUCUUGUUAAUGCACUCCACUUGUUUAAUUCGUGCUUGUUUUGUUAAUGUUCGUUCUUGUCUUUAUUCGGAUGCAAUUAGGUUAGAUUAGUCUAGGUUUCAUUAAUUCUUUACUUUAUGUUGCUUUUAAUUCUCUUGCAAGUAUAGUUUAGUUAGGUUACAAGUCAUCUUUAUGGUACACUAGCGUAGAAGGGUUCAGUACUUAAUUGUAUUUGAUACACCCGUAGUAUGACAUAUGAGUACUUAUCAAAUUUAACGCUAUUGUUGGGGAAUUGUAGCGGUGUUUAAUAACUUAGGAUUGUUUUUCUAUUUCUUUAUAAAAAAGAUCCAAAAAUUGUUCAGGGCUUAAUUCUAUUGUAUCCAUGUGUUUUAUCUUUUAAGAUUCCUAUGUCUGGUGAUUUUGUUUUGUUUUAGUAUUUUAGGUGAGACUGGGAUAUUAUUUCAGCAACCAUAGAUUCAUAUUUUUAGCAAUUUGGAGGCAUUAAUCAGGCUUAUAUUCGGGUACGGGGCAACAGAGUGUAUAGACAGUACGUUAGGAACCAAUCUCAACCAAUGCUACCAGUGCUAGAAAUGAGUGCAUGUCAUAUGUGUGGUAGUCCAAUCCAUUCAAUUUAUCAAUGCCCCAUCAUGUACUCAAAAGCAAAUACUUUUCCUAGUGAGCCUUAGUGUUACUAACAUCAAUAUUAGGACAUGUAUGAUCCAGCUGCUAGCACUCAUAUUCAUGGUUGGGGAGAUUCAACUCAAUACUAUCAACCCCAACAAAUUUCUGAGCAGUAUCAGACUACACAACAACAAGCUAUUGAGCACCCUUAGUGUUACAAUUCGAAUUGGAUGAACCAUCAAAAUUUCAUACAGGGAACGAGCGACAACAAUUGGAUCAAUCUUUUCCAACAUAUCAGAGUCCAUUGGGAUUCCAGGAUGACUCAAUGCUUACCAAACCUUAGACAUUCUAGCAGAUCAAAACAGUUCCGUAACAUUUCAAGAGUUCAGUGAAGAAGUUCAUGCCCCAGUCAACUAAAAUUGCAAGAUCUUGAGAAGGUUGUCCAACAAAUGAUAUUGUAAAUGCAGCAACAAACAUUGCAAAUGCAGCAAUAAACAUUGUAAAUGCAGCAACAACAUGAAGACUAUAUGCUCCAGUCCCAGCAACGAGCUGAGGAAUUAAGUCCGAAACUGCAAAUACAAUUAGAUCAACUUAAUCAUCUAUCAGCUAGUGAUAAGCACAAUAGUCCAGUCAGUUUCUCUCAGAGAAUCUUCCUGGUGGUAUCGACGUACUCAAGGAAAUGAAUUAUAGAGCUAGUGAUUAUAUUGUCCCUGAUUUUGCAGCUUUACAGGACUCCAUUUUUGUGUCUGGUGAUAAUGAAGUUAUAGCUGAUGCUAAUUUUGUUGUUGAUGAUGAGGCAUGCAAAGAUGAAGUUGUUGAUGUUGUAAUUUUUUAAUGAGGUUGUAGAUGCUGUAUAUAUUGAUGAAGACUAUGUUGCAUGCCAAAUUCUGGAUGAAGAUAGUGUUGUUGCUGAUGUUGAAUAUUCUGAUGUGUGCAAAACCCAAGAUGAAAAGAUAGUUACAGGAGCUAUUGUGGAUGGAAUUCUAAAUAAAGUUGCUGAUGUUUUAGAUAUUGGUGAUAAUUCUGGUGAGUUGUCUACCGUUCCUGCUUGUGAUAUUAUUGUGGAUGGAAGUGCAAAGUUUUGUGUAGUAGAACCACUAGAUAUUUUGAGGCAGCACGAAGAGGUCAUUGAAUGGACACUCGCACCUGAGGUUGAGAACAAAUUUGAUGAGUCAAUUUCUAUAGGAGUGGUGGAUAGUUGGAGGUCCCGGACUGGACACUCCCAUUUAUAUUGACACCUCCAAAAUUUAUGUUGAAAAAAACCUCGAUUUCCCAUGUAAUAAUCCAGCCCCCAAAUUGGAUAUUACGAAUAAAUCGCCUCUGACCGCCAAAGAGAACCUUCGAGGAGACAAAGAUGGAGGGAGCGAUGCUUACCUCUAUUCUUAUCAUUCCACUUCCCAGAAUGGAUGCUACAUUGAACUGCCUCCAACCACUUGGAGGAACUUUCGAAAAGGUGAUAAUGGUGGGAGCUGAACUUGACGACAUUGAUGACAUGAAGAAGGCGCUUUCCUCCAUUUGAACCACCCCAUUGCCGUUGAAUAACCCAACAAAUUCAUCUUCCACCAUAUUUGCCUUGCCAUAUUUUUAUUGGGAGUUUGGAGGAAUUCUUAAUGAGUUAGAUCGCCAAGAUGGACAUAAGUUUAAGUGUGGGGGUGAAUUGCAUAUGCUUGAGGUUCUUGGAGGUUCCUUAUUACAAAUGGAUUGGAAUUAUGAAAUUGUGGAAUCAAGUCAAGGGUUGUAUUGUUGAAUGUUAAAUGAUGUUGGAAUUUUAGCCAUCAAUAGUUUUUGAGGCAGAAUUUUCAUUGAGAUUUCUUAUUUCAGUUUGAUUGAGGUUCCUGGAGUUUGGAAGUUUUGAGCAGAAUUUACGCACUUGGAGAAGGAAUUACUUUGGUUGAUUUGUGGAAUUCUACAUCAGUUUUAUAGAGAUACUCAAAGUGCUGUAAUUUUCAGAAUCUUUCCAAAUCUGUGUAACAUGUUUGUUGGUGUUCAGAGUAUCAAAUAGAAAUUGGUUUGUGCCAAGCUUAUUUAUGGAAUUCCUGGUUAGAGUCUCAGAUGAGUUAAGUGCCUAAUUUGCAAUGUCAUUUGAUGUUUUAUCUUCUCCAUGAAGCCCACUCUUAAUUGACCCAAGAGCCUUAGAAAAAGGAGUUGAUACAAAUGCUGAAUUGUUAUUGCUAGGUUACAUAAACUUGAUUUGGCUUGAGUGCUAAAAUGGCUGCAGCUUUGUGGAAUCUGCAGAAAAGAGACCUGAAAUUGAUGUGUCAACUAUCAUAAGUUGCAUGCCAAGUUUUUGCUGCAAUUCUCUGAUCGGUAAGAAACUGAAAUAAAGCUCUUGUUUAGCCAGUAACAAGUGGUACUCUUCUUGUCCCAAGUCUCCAGUGAUUCAGUUCUGAACAAUUCCCUUAAACAAUUAACAGAUAAAGAUGAAAAAAAUCAGAAUUCAGAGUACAGAUUCAAUUCUGGUUUUCCUUAGCCUGAGUUCUGAAAUUGACCUUGAAUUCAUUUAUUACAGAGAUCAACUCCAUAUUAGAGUUUUCACAGCUGAUGUUGGUGGGGAUGUGGAACUCCUUAAGAAAACAUCAAAGUGUUUUAGUUAAAAAAAAAAAAAACAGUGAAACCAGGAACUGAUAGGUGCAGAAUGGUUGGAAGCUCAGUGCCAGCAGCUACUGAGCAGCUGAAUCAAAUUGAGUUGUUUUCCAUUCUUUUGCAAGAGCACAACCAGGAGGGCUGAAAAAAACGAACUGUUUCAAUAGAACAUGAUACAACAGAAAUUUGUGCCAAUCUUUUCAUACUGUUUUUGUCCAGAAUACAAACUGAAUUCCAGCCCUAUCAAUUCAAUGUUAAAUGAGAUUUCCUUCCAAGGUAAACCUUUCAUGACUCAGGCCAAGAUUUCCUUGAAUUAUGAAUUCUGAAACUAGAGUUUAAAAACCAGAAUUUCAGAGAUGAACUUCAUUUUUGGAGUUUUAGGCAUGAUUUUUGAAUAGAUGUAUUCAAUCUUAAAGGCUUCCUAGCUGCUGUGGGUACAUCACUACAAUUCUGAAGAAUAGGAUCAGUGAACAUGUAGUGCCAGGAAACAAGAAAUUGGAAACUGCUGUAAUGAGAAGUAAUUUGUUGCAGAUCAGAUGAAGAUUAGCAGUUUCAGUUUGGAAAUGAGUUGGAAUUUGUUCAAUCAUCUCUUGCUAUUAAGUCUUAAAAACCCCAUUAAGUUGAAUCCUAGUUUUAAUUUCCUACAAGCUUGAGCCUGAUCUAUGGAAUUGAGUUUGGAACUGAUCUAUGGAAUAUAGCAAUGCAGAAAUCCUACAAGCUUGAGCCUGAAACUAAUUUAUGAAGAUCCUGGAACGUGUGGAAGCUCAACUUAGUGAGGUAUGCUGGGUGCUCAUGUUUUCUUUGAGUCUGAAAGUGAUCUUGAAGAUUUGAAUUUCUAGUCCAACUUCUCUAAUUCAAGCUGUGGUCAGAAGCUAAAUAAUGUACUGGUUUUGAUAUUGGAUUCAAAUGUUUGAGCUUUGCAUUAUAGUGUCACUUACGCAUACAGUAGCUCUAAUCCAAUCUGCAGUUCGCCAACCUCAAUUAAAGCUGAAUGAAUCUGAUACUCAUUUGAAAUUGCUGGAAUUGAUGGGAUUUCAAGGAAAUGGGGUAGUUUAACAGUCGAAAGAAUAUCUGAGUUUCUGUAGUUGGCUUUAAUGCAAAUGCUUUUGAGUAAUCCAUGUGUCAAUUUGGAAGCCUAUUUUCAAAUUUUUGGAGAAACAAAUGUCAUGAAUUCUUUAGGCAUAGGGUGAAGUUGAUGCAACGUAGCAAUUGGAAGAGAAAAUUAGCACACUUCAAUUACAAUUUUGAAAGCGGAAAGAUUUCAAGAAUCUAGGAAUACUCAACACAUCAAGUUGAGAAGAUUUUGAGAGAUGAAAGUGUCUUGUUUGGAGGAGGAUUGUGUUAGGUUGUCUGCCAACGUUAAAACAAUGAUAAAUAUUUAAUGAAUGAAUCCAUUAAACUAUUGUACUAAUGCUAUGUUCUUCGAAAGGAAUGCGUUGUAGGACCCGACUGUAAUGUUUCGGCAAGGAUUGUUAUAUCUCCAAAACUCGAGUAUAGUACUAAAUAUGUAAGAGUUCACGUUA